GAAUUUUGGACAAUGGGGGGAACCCUGCUACAGCCAUGCCGCGUGUUAGCAGAAGGCCUUUUGGUUGUAAAGCCCUUUAAGCGAGGAGGAGGAGCUCUUGGUUAAUACCCAAGAUGCUUGGACGCUAUUCGAAGAAUAAGAACCGGCUAACUCUGUACCAGCAGCCGCGGUAAUCCAGAGGGUGCAAGCGUUAAUAGGAUUUACUGGGCGUAAAGCGCGCGUAAGUGGCCAAUUAAGUCAAAGGUGAAAUCCCCGAGCUUAACUUGGGAAUUGCAUUCGAUACUGGUUGGCUAGAGUAUGGGAGAGGAUGGUAGAAUUCCAGGUGUAGCGGUGAAAUGCGUAGAGAUCUGGAGGAAUACCGAUGGCGAAGGCAGCCAUCUGGCCUAAUACUGACACUGAGGUGCGAAAGCAUGGGGAGCAAAC
rnacentral:rRNA from 1 species